AUGAACGCUGGCGGCGUGCCUAAUACAUGCAAGUCGAGCGAACAGACGAGGAGCUUGCUCCUCUGACGUUAGCGGCGGACGGGUGAGUAACACGUGGAUAACCUACCUAUAAGACUGGGAUAACUUCGGGAAACCGGAGCUAAUACCGGAUAAUAUAUUGAACCGCAUGGUUCAAUAGUGAAAGACGGUUUUGCUGUCACUUAUAGAUGGAUCCGCGCCGCAUUAGCUAGUUGGUAAGGUAACGGCUUACCAAGGCAACGAUGCGUAGCCGACCUGAGAGGGGGAUCGGCCACACGGGACCUGACACACGGUCAGACCCCCGACGGGAGGCAGCAGGAGGGAAACUUCCGCAAGGGGGGAAAGCCGGACGGAGCAACGCCGGGGGAGUGAUGAAGGUCUUCGGAUCAUAAAACUCUUUUAUUAGGGAAGAGCAAAUGUGUAAGUAACUAUCCACCUCUUGGCGGUACCUAAUCAGAAAGCCACGGCUAACUACUU
rnacentral:rRNA from 1 species